rnacentral:rRNA from 1 species
GAUGAACGCUAGCGGCAGGCCUAAUACAUGCAAGUCGAACGAGAUUGAGGAGCUUGCUCUUCAUGAAAGUGGCGCACGGGUGCGUAACGCGUAUGCAACCUACCUUAAUCAGGGGGAUAGCCUCUCGAAAGAGAGAUUAACACCGCAUAACAUUAUUAUAUGGCAUCAUAUGAUAAUCAAAUAUUUAUAGGAUUAAGAUGGGCAUGCGCGACAUUAGUUAGUUGGCGGGGUAACGGCCCACCAAGACGAUGAUGUCUAGGGAAUCUGAGAGGAUGACCCCCCACACUGGUACUGAGACACGGACCAGACUCCUACGGGAGGCAGCAGUAAGGAAUAUUGGUCAAUGGGCGCAAGCCUGAACCAGCCAUGCCGCGUGCAGGAAGACGGCCCUACGGGUUGUAAACUGCUUUUAUACUGGAAUAAACCUACUUACGUGUAAGUAGCUGAAUGUACAGUAAGAAUAAGGAUCGGCUAACUCCGUGCCAGCCGCCGCAGUAAUAC